GUGAGUGUGUAAGAGCGCAUGGUGGAUGCCUUGGCAUCAGGAGCCGAUGAAGGACGUGGAAAUCUGCGAUAAGCCUCGGGGAGCCGAUAAACGGGCUGUGAUCCGAGGAUGUCCGAAUGGGGGAACCCCGCCGCAUGCGAGUGCGGUGACCCGCACCUGAAUAUAUAGGGUGUGUGGAGGGAACGCGGGGAAGUGAAACAUCUCAGUACCCGUAGGAAGAGAAAAUAAGAAUGAUUCCGGGAGUAGUGGCGAGCGAAACUGGAUGAGCCUAAACCGUGUGCGUGUCAAGCGUGCUGGUGUUGCGUACAUGGUGUUGUGGGGUGUGUGUGUUCGGUUCAGCAUGACCGAGACGCUGAUGAGUGCUUACGUGUAGUCGAAGCUGGUGGGAAACAGUACCGGAGUGGGUGAGAGUCCCGUAGACGAAACGCGUGGCCCCGGUGUGACACGUGUCCCCGAGUAGCACGGAACUCGUGGAAUUCCGUGUGAAUCUGCCAGGACCACCUGGUAAGGCUAAAUACUUCCUGAUGACCGAUAGCGGAUCAGUACCGUGAGGGAAUGGUGAAAAGUACCCCGGGAGGGGAGUGAAAGAGUACCUGAAACCAUGUGCUUACAAUCCGUCAGAGCACCCGUGUUGGUGUGAUGGCGUGCCUUUUGAAGAAUGAGCCUGCGAGUUAGCGGUGCGUGGCGAGGUUAACCCGUGUGGGGUAGCCGUAGCGAAAGCGAGUCCGAAUAGGGCGGUCCAGUCGCGUGUCCUAGACCCGAAGCGGAGUGAUCUAGCCAUGGGCAGGGUGAAGCAGCAGUAAGAUGUUGUGGAGGCCCGCACCCACUUCAGUUGAAAAUGGAGGGGAUGACCUGUGGUUAGGGGUGAAAGGCCAAUCAAACUCUGUGAUAGCUGGUUCUCCCCGAAAUGCAUUUAGGUGCAGCGUUGCGUGGUUCUUGCCGGAGGUAGAGCUACUGGAUGGCUGAUGGGCCCCACCGGGUUACUGACGUCAACUAAACUCCGAAUGCCGGUAAGGUUCAGCGUGGCAGUGAGACAGUGGGGGAUAAGCUUCAUUGUCGAGAGGGAAACAGCCCAGACCAUCAACUAAGGCCCCUAAGCGUGUGCUGAGUGGGAAAGGAUGUUCAGUUGCGAAGACAACCAGGAGGUUGGCUUAGAAGCAGCCACCCUUGAAAGAGUGCGUAAUAGCUCACUGGUCAAGUGAUUGAGCGCCGAUAAUGUAGCGGGGCUAAGUACACCGCCGAAGUUGUGGCAGCAUCACGAUACUGUAAUGGUGUGGUGUUGGGUAGGGGAGCGUCGUGUCGCCAGUGAAGUCGCCGUGUGAACGAGUGGUGGAGGCGUCACGAGUGAGAAUGCAGGCAUGAGUAGCGAAAGACGGGUGAGAAACCCGUCCACCGGAUGACCAAGGGUUCCAGGGCUAGGCUAAUCCGCCCUGGGUAAGUCGGGACCUAAGGCGAGGCCGACAGGCGUAGUCGAUGGACAACCAGUUGAUAUUCUGGUACCGACACACAACCGACAAUACCAAAACACAUGAGACUAACUCCCCGGUCCACCCGUGGCGUCUUCGGAUGUCUGGUUGGUGGUCUGGUGAGGACCUGAGUGUGGAGUCGGUAAGCGUGAGGUGUGACGCAGAAAGGUAGCCAGGCCACGCGAUGGUAGUCGUGGUCUAAGGUCGUAGCAUGUGGGGGUAGGCAAAUCCGUCCCCACGCAUAGUGUGAGAGCUGAUGGGCGCCCCACAGUGGUGGGGUGAUCUGGUGAUCCUCUGCUGCCGAGAAAAGCAUCGACGUGAGGGUGUGUGUUGCCCGUACCCUAUAACCGACACAGGUGGUCAGGUAGAGAAUACUAAGGUGAUCGAGAGAAUCGUGGUUAAGGAACUCGGCAAAAUGCCCCCGUAACUUCGGGAGAAGGGGGGCCAUCCUGGUGAACAAUCCUUGCGGUUGGGAGCUGGUGGUGGUCGCAGAGGCCAGAGAGAAGCGACUGUUUAUUAAAAACACAGGUCCGUGCGAAGAUGUAAGUCGAUGUAUACGGACUGACGCCUGCCCGGUGCUGGAAGGUUAAGAGGACCCGUUAACCCUUGGGUGAAGCGGAGAAUUUAAGCCCCAGUAAACGGCGGUGGUAACUAUAACCAUCCUAAGGUAGCGAAAUUCCUUGUCGGGUAAGUUCCGACCUGCACGAAUGGCGUAACGACUUCUCUGCUGUCUCAACCACGAACUCGGCGAAAUUGCAUUACGAGUAAAGAUGCUCGUUACGCGCAGCAGGACGGAAAGACCCCGAGACCUUCACUAUAGUUUGGUAUUGGGCUUCGGUGUGGUUUGUGUAGGAUAGGUGGGAGAUGUUGAAGCCUGGUCGCCAGAUCGGGUGGAGUCGGCAAGUGAAAUACCACUCUGACCAUUCUGGAUUCCUUAACUUCGGACCCUGAUCGGGUUCAGGGACAGUGCCUGAUGGGUAGUUUAACUGGGGCGGUUGCCUCCUAAAGAGUAACGGAGGCGCCCAAAGGUUCCCUCAGCCUGGUUGGCAAUCAGGUGUCGAGUGUAAGUGCACAAGGGAGCUUGACUGUGAGACGGACGUGUCGAGCAGGAGCGAAAGCUGGGACUAGUGACCCGGCCAUGGCUUGUGGAAGCGUGGUCGCUCAACGAUAAAAGGUACCUCGGGAUACAGGUGAGCGGACCACGCUUCCACAAGCCAUGGCCGGGUCACUAGUCCCAGCUUUCGCUCCUGCUCGACACGUCCGUCUCACAGUCAAGCUCCCUUGUGCACUUACACUCGACACCUGAUUGCCAACCAGGCUGAGGGAACCUUUGGGCGCCUCCGUUACUCUUUAGGAGGCAACCGCCCCAGUUAAACUACCCAUCAGGCACUGUCCCUGAACCCGAUCAGGGUCCGAAGUUAAGGAAUCCAGAAUGGUCAGAGUGGUAUUUCACUUGCCGACUCCACCCGAUCUGGCGACCAGGCUUCAACAUCUCCCACCUAUCCUACACAAACCACACCGAAGCCCAAUACCAAACUAUAGUGAAGGUCUCGGGGUCUUUCCGUCCUGCUGCGCGUAACGAGCAUCUUUACUCGUAAUGCAAUUUCGCCGAGUUCGUGGUUGAGACAGCAGAGAAGUCGUUACGCCAUUCGUGCAGGUCGGAACUUACCCGACAAGGAAUUUCGCUA
rnacentral:rRNA from 1 species